rnacentral:misc_RNA from 1 species
AAGUCGUAACAAGGUUUCCGUAGGUGAACCUGCGGAAGGAUCAUUAAAAAUUAUCGUGUUCCUUGGAACAUUUGUGCUCGGGACUCCCUCGGGAGUCCUGACGAUCACCCGUAUAUGUGUUUGACUGUGAAUUUUAUUGAAAAAGAAAUAGACAA